UACGUAGGGGGCAAGCGUUAUCCGGAUUUACUGGGUGUAAAGGGAGCGCAGACGGAACUGCAAGUCUGAUGUAAAGCCCGGGGCUCAACCGCGGGACUGCAUCGGAUACUGUGGAUCUGGAGUGCCGGAGGGGCAAGCGGAAUUCCUGGUGUAGCGGUGAAAUGCGUAGAUAUCAGGAGGAACACCGGCGGCGAAGGCGGCUUGCUGGACGGCAACUGACGUUGAGGCUCGAAAGCGUGGGGAGCAAACAGGAUUAGAUACCCUGGUA
rnacentral:rRNA from 1 species